rnacentral:lncRNA from 1 species
AGAUAAAAAGAGAACAAGAGGAUAUUACUAUCUGGCAGGGAGCCCAGCGCGAGGUGGAGCUUCAGUAGCUAGGAGGAGUCCAGAGCGAGGUGAAGCUCCAGGUAGAAGUGGAUUAGGUAUGAGAUGUGAGACUUAGAAGGAUGAGAGGCAAUAUCAUAGGGUGAGAUUUCUAUUACCGCAGAAGGAUAUCUCGAGCAGAUC